rnacentral:rRNA from 1 species
CAAGUCGAACGAGAAAGUUCCCCGUAAGGGGGACGAGUAAAGUGGCAGACGGGUGAGUAACACGUGAACAAUCUACCCUCGAGUGGGGAAUAACCCCGCGAAAGCGGGGCUAAUACCGCAUAACACUUCUGGGACGCAUGUCCUGGAGAUCAAGGGCUUCGGUCGCUUGAGGAGGAGUUCGCGCCUGAUUAGCUAGUUGGUGAGGUAACGGCCCACCAAGGCAACGAUCAGUAGCCGGCCUGAGAGGGCGUACGGCCACACUGGAACUGAGACACGGUCCAGACUCCUACGGGAGGCAGCAGUGGGGAAUUUUGCGCAAUGGGCGAAAGCCUGACGCAGCAACGCCGCGUGGAGGAUGAAGGCCUUCGGGUCGUAAACUCCUGUCAGGGGGGACGAAACGCCGGGCAACCGGCUUGACUGUACCCCCGGAGGAAGCCACGGCUAACUCCGUGCCAGCAGCCGCGGUAAUACGGAGGUGGCUAGCGUUGUUCGGAAUUACUGGGCGUAAAGGGCGCGUAGGCGGCAUUGCAAGUCAGAUGUGAAAGCCCCGGGCUUAACUCGGGAACUGCAUCUGAAACUGCUUUGCUUGAGUCCUGGAGGGGGUAGUGGAAUUCCCAGUGUAGCGGUGAAAUGCGUAGAUAUUGGGAGGAACACCUGCGGCGAAGGCGGCUACCUGGACAGUGACUGACGCUGAGGCGCGAAAGCUAGGGGAGCGAACGGGAUUAGAUACCCCGGUAGUCCUAGCCGUAAACGAUGGGCACUUGGUGUUGGGGGUAUUGAGUCCCUCGGUGCCGGAGUUAACACGUUAAGUGCCCCGCCUGGGGAGUACGGUCGCAAGACUGAAACUCAAAGGAAUUGACGGGGGCCCGCACAAGCGGUGGAGCAUGUGGUUCAAUUCGACGCAACGCGAAGAACCUUACCGGGCUCGA